rnacentral:rRNA from 1 species
AGUGGGGAAUUUUGCGCAAUGNUGCGAAAGCCUGACGCAGCAACGCCGCGUGAGGGAUGAAGGCCUUCGGGUCGUAAACCUCUGUCAGAGGGGAAGAACCGUCUGUGGGAUAAUACCCCGCAGGCCUGACGGUACCCUCAGAGGAAGCACCGGCUAACUCCGUGCCAGCAGCCGCGGUAAUACGGAGGGUGCAAGCGUUGUUCGGAAUUAUUGGGCGUAAAGCGCGUGUAGGCGGCUUGCUAAGUCUGAUGUGAAAGCCCUGGGCUCAACCCAGGAAGUGCAUUGGAAACUGGUCGGCUUGAGUACGGGAGAGGGUAGUGGAAUUCCGAGUGUAGGGGUGAAAUCCGUAGAUAUUCGGAGGAACACCGGUGGCGAAGGCGGCUACCUGGACCGAUACUGACGCUGAGACGCGAAAGCGUGGGGAGCAAACAGGAUUAGAUACCCUGGUAGUCCACGCCGUAAACGAUGGGUACUAGGUGUCGCGGGUAUUGACCCCUGCGGUGCCGAAGCUAACGCAUUAAGUACCCCGCCUGGGGAGUACGGCCGCAAGGUUA